AGUGAACGCUGGCGGUAGGCCUAACACAUGCAAGUCGAACGGCAGCACAGUAAGAGCUUGCUCUUACGGGUGGCGAGUGGCGGACGGGUGAGGAAUACAUCGGAAUCUACUUUUUCGUGGGGGAUAACGUAGGGAAACUUACGCUAAUACCGCAUACGACCUACGGGUGAAAGCAGGGGAUCUUCGGACCUUGCGCGAUUGAAUGAGCCGAUGUCGGAUUAGCUAGUUGGCGGGGUAAAGGCCCACCAAGGCGACGAUCCGUAGCUGGUCUGAGAGGAUGAUCAGCCACACUGGAACGGAGACACGGUCCAGACUCCUACGGGACGCAGCAGUGGGGAAUAUUGGACAAUGGGCGCAAGCCUGAUCCAGCCAUACCGCGUGGGUGAAGAAGGCCUUCGGGCUGUAAAGCCCUUUUGUUGGGAAAGAAAAGCAGCAGGUUAAUACCCCGCUGUUCUGACGGUACCCAAAGAAUAAGCACCGGCUAACUUCGUG
rnacentral:rRNA from 1 species